AACGAACGCUGGCGGCGUGGAUAAGACAUGCAAGUCGAACGGGAUUACUUUUGUAGCAAUACAGAAGUAAUUCAGUGGCGAACGGGUGCGUAACACGUGGGCAAUCUGCCGAGAAGUGGGGGAUAGCUCGCCGAAAGGCGAAUUAAUACCGCAUAUGAUCAGGGACGACAUCUUCCCAACAUCAAAGCCGGGGGCAACCUGGCGCUUUUUGAGGAGCCCGCGGCCUAUCAGCUAGUUGGUGAGGUAACGGCCCACCAAGGCUAUGACGGGUAGCUGGUCUGAGAGGACGACCAGUCACACUGGAACUGAGACACGGUCCAGACACCUACGGGUGGCAGCAGUCGAGAAUUUUUCUCAAUGGGGGCAACCC
rnacentral:rRNA from 1 species